UACGUAGGGUGCAAGCGUUAAUCGGAAUUACUGGGCGUAAAGCGUGCGCAGGCGGUUUUGUAAGUCUGUCGUGAAAGCCCCGGGCUCAACCUGGGAAUUGCGAUGGAGACUGCAAGGCUUGAAUCUGGCAGAGGGGGGGUAGAAUUCCACGUGUAGCAGUGAAAAUGCGUAGAGAUGUGGAGGAACACCGGAUGGCGAAGGCAGCCCCCUGGGUCAAGAUUGACGCUCAUGCACGAAAGCGUGGGGAGCAAACAGG
rnacentral:rRNA from 1 species